rnacentral:rRNA from 1 species
UUGUAAACUGCUUUUGUACAGAACGAAAAGCUUUGGGUUAAUACCCUGGAGCCAUGACGGUACUGUAAGAAUAAGCACCGGCUAACUACGUGCCAGCAGCCGCGGUAAUACGUAGGGUGCAAGCGUUAAUCGGAAUUACUGGGCGUAAAGCGUGCGCAGGCGGCUAUGCAAGACUGAUGUGAAAUCCCCGGGCUCAACCUGGGAACUGCAUUAGUGACUGCAUAGCUGGAGUGCGGCAGAGGGGGAUGGAAUUCCGCGUGUAGCAGUGAAAUGCGUAGAUAUGCGGAGGAACACCGAUGGCGAAGGCAAUCCCCUGGGCCUGCACUGACGCUCAUGCACGAAAGCGUGGGGAGCAAACAGGAUUAGAUACCCUGGUAGUCCACGCCCUAAACGAUGUCAACUGGUUGUUGGGAAUUUAUUUUCUCAGUAACGAAGCUAACGCGUGAAGUUGACCGCCUGGGGAGUACGGUCGCAAGACUAAAACUCAAGGAAUUGACGGG